UACGAAGGGGGCUAGCGUUGCUCGGAAUUACUGGGCGUAAAGCGCACGUAGGCGGUCUUUUAAGUCGGGGGUGAAAUCCUGGAGCUCAACUCCAGAACUGCCUUCGAUACUGGAACGACUUGAGUCCGGGAGAGGUGAGUGGAACUGCGAGUGUAGAGGUGAAAUUCGUAGAUAUUCGAAGAACACCAACGGCGAAAGGCGA
rnacentral:rRNA from 1 species